rnacentral:rRNA from 2 species
CAGUGAUAAACUGGAGGAAGGUGGGGAUGACGUCAAGUCAUCAUGGCCCUUACGACCAGGGCUACACACGUGCUACAAUGGCGCAUACAAAGAGAAGCGACCUCGCGAGAGCAAGCGGACCUCAUAAAGUGCGUCGUAGUCCGGAUUGGAGUCUGCAACUCGACUCCAUGAAGUCGGAAUCGCUAGUAAUCGUGGAUCAGAAUGCCACGGUGAAUACGUUCCCGGGCCUUGUACACACCGCCCGUCACACCAUGGGAGUGGGUUGCAAAAGAAGUAGGUAGCUUAACCUUCGGGAGGGCGCUUACCACUUUGUGAUUCAUGACUGGGGUGAAGUCGUAACAAGGUAACCGUAGGGGAACCUGCGGUUGGAUCACCUCCUUAC